rnacentral:rRNA from 1 species
AACGUAGGAGACAAGCGUUAUCCGGAAUUACUGGGCGUAAAGCGCGUGUAGGCGGUUGUUCAAGUGGGGCGUGAAAUCGUCUGGCUAAACUGGGCGAGGUCGCCUCAGACUGGACAACUAGAGUUCGACAGAGGGGCGUGGAAUUCCGGGUGUAGUGGUGAAAUGCGUAGAGAUCCGGAGGAACACCAGUGGCGAAGGCGGCGCCCUGGGUCGAAACUGACGCUCAGACGCGAAAGCAUGGGGAGCGAACGGG